GACGAACGCUGGCGGCGUGCUUAACACAUGCAAGUCGAACGCUGAAGACCUGGCUUUUGUUGGGUUGGAUGAGUGGCGAACGGGUGAGUAACACGUGAGUAACCUGCCUUCUUCUUUGGGAUAACGCCCGGAAACGGGUGCUAAUACUGGAUAUUCAAUGAUCUUCGCAUGGGGGUUGGUGGAAAGGUUUGUUCUGGUGGGUGAUGGGCUCGCGGCCUAUCAGCUUGUUGGUGGGGUGAUGGCCUACUAAGGCUUUGACGGGUAGCCGGCCUGAGAGGGUGACCGGUCACAUUGGGACUGAGAUACGGCCCAGACUCCUGCGGGAGGCAGCAGUGGGGAAUAUAGCACAAUGGGCGAAAGCCUGAUGCAGCGACGCCGCGUGAGGGAUGGAGGCCUUCGGGUUGUAAACCUCUUUCGCGCAUGGUCAAGCCGCAACUGUGGGUUGUGGUGAGGGUAGUGGGUAAAGAAGCGCCGGCUAACUACGUG
rnacentral:rRNA from 1 species